CAGGAUGAACGCUGGCGGCGUGCCUAAUACAUGCAAGUCGAGCGAACGGACGAGAAGCUUGCUUCUCUGAUGUUAGCGGCGGACGGGUGAGUAACACGUGGAUAACCUACCUAUAAGACUGGGAUAACUUCGGGAAACCGGAGCUAAUACCGGAUAAUAUUUUGAACCGCAUGGUUCAAAAGUGAAAGACGGUCUUGCUGUCACUUAUAGAUGGAUCCGCGCUGCAUUAGCUAGUUGGUAAGGUAACGGCUUACCAAGGCAACGAUGCAUAGCCGACCUGAGAGGGUGAUCGGCCACACUGGAACUGAGACACGGUCCAGACUCCUACGGGAGGCAGCAGUAGGGAAUCUUCCGCAAUGGGCGAAAGCCUGACGGAGCAACGCCGCGUGAGUGAUGAAGGUCUUCGGAUCGUAAAACUCUGUUAUUAGGGAAGAACAUAUGUGUAAGUAACUGUGCACAUCUUGACGGUACCUAAUCAGAAAGCCACGGCUAACUACGUGCCAGCAGCCGCGGUAAUACGUAGGUGGCAAGCGUUAUCCGGAAUUAUUGGGCGUAAAGCGCGCGUAGGCGGUUUUUUAAGUCUGAUGUGAAAGCCCACGGCUCAACCGUGGAGGGUCAUUGGAAACUGGAAAACUUGAGUGCAGAAGAGGAAAGUGGAAUUCCAUGUGUAGCGGUGAAAUGCGCAGAGAUAUGGAGGAACACCAGUGGCGAAGGCGACUUUCUGGUCUGUAACUGACGCUGAUGUGCGAAAGCGUGGGGAUCAAACAGGAUUAGAUACCCUGGUAGUCCACGCCGUAAACGAUGAGUGCUAAGUGUUAGGGGGUUUCCGCCCCUUAGU
rnacentral:rRNA from 1 species